CAUGUAGGCGGCUUAAUAAGUCGAGCGUGAAAAUGCGGGGCUCAACCCCGUAUGGCGCCGGAAACUGUUAGGCUUGAGUGCAGGAGAGGAAAGGGGAAUUCCCAGUGUAGCGGUGAAAUGCGUAGAUAUUGGGAGGAACACCAGUGGCGAAGGCGCCUUUCUGACUGUGUCUGACGCUGAGAUGCGAAAGCCAGGGUAGCGAACG
rnacentral:rRNA from 1 species